GGCGCGCGCCUGGGCUCCGGCCUGGGGCGCUGAGGGGCGGGGGUCGCCCUUUCUCCCUCGAGUGCUCCCGCCGCCGGCUGUCACCUCCACGUGCCCGGGGCCGGUGACAUUCGCUCGGGGAAGUUAUUUCACCUGCAGGCGCCAGCGGAGAGCCUGCAAGGUUCCGGCGCGUUCUCUGCAGGUGACACCCUUGGCCUCCGAGGUCGGAAGGUCGGGGGGCGGAGUUCUCCCUGUCCCCAGGCCUUCCCCCCCGCCCUCCGUCACUGUCGACCCCCGUCGGGGCUCCGGUGCUGGCGUUCGCCCGGGCCGCGCGCGAGGCGGUGCCCGGCCGCCGUGGAGGGACUGAGCUGCGGCGCCCUGGCCUCUGUAAAAGAUCUGUGAACUACUGAUGACCAGCUGAGACCUUGGCUCAUCCCAGAUCAGAAACCUAUACAGUUUCAAAGACUCAUACAAGAGCUCCUGGAAAUGCUUGUGCCUAGGUAUGGUCUUGCUGUGUACCCCACACUGGCCUAAAACUGAUGAUCCUCCUGCCUUGUCCCAGAUGUUGGGAAAACAGAGGUGCACCACACAUCUGGCUUCCUUUACCACAGUUCAAGAUAGGAGAUAUUUUUAAUGCUUUCUUUCCUAUAAAUGCCACUUGCCAGACACAAGCAAGUAUCCUUUACCAGAGGUUCUGUUUCUCUAAGGAAGUUCAAGUCUGCAAUCUCCAGGUAUUUCUGCAUACCAGAAUCCUCUGUUUCCAACCCAGUGGUCAUUGUUAUCUUUCCCUUGGGACACUGGAUUUGUAGGCUUAGACCUCAUACUUCCCAGUACCCAUAUACCAGGCUGGCUGGCAGGUUCCGUCACAUGGCACUGCCUACAGAGCUGGCCUUUGCCUCUACAAAACCCCAGAAGGCAUCAGCUUACUGCUGACCAGUGUGCCAUUGGCAGUUAGGGCUCAUCUAGGAGGCCAGUCCAUACGACUUUAGUCAGAGGAUGGCAGACUGCUUCCUAGAACAAAUAAUGUCACCCACUUUCUCCAGCUGCUGAGGAAAAGAGAGGUGAGCUCAUGAUAGGACUCAGAGAAAGGCAGCAAUUGCUGAGUCAGAAUGGCAGCAGAGGGGACCUGGGACACAGGCCUUGUAGCCAGGCUGCCUUGCCUGCUUCACUUACUGGCUUUGUCCUCAACAGGAAUUUGAGAGGAGGAAAUAAAAGCCAAAGGAA